UUAGCGGCGGACGGGUGAGUAACACGUGGGUAACCUGCCCAUAAGACUGGGAUAACUCCGGGAAACCGGGGCUAAUACCGGAUAACAUUUUGCACCGCAUGGUGCGAAAUUCAAAGGCGGCUUCGGCUGUCACUUAUGGAUGGACCCGCGUCGCAUUAGCUAGUUGGUGAGGUAACGGCUCACCAAGGCAACGAUGCGUAGCCGACCUGAGAGGGUGAUCGGCCACACUGGGACUGAGACACGGCCCAGACUCCUACGGGAGGCAGCAGUAGGGAAUCUUCCGCAAUGGACGAAAGUCUGAACGGAGCAACGCCGCGUGAGUGAUGAAGGCUUUCGGGUCGUAAAACUCUGUUGUUAGGGAAGAACAAGUGCUAGUUGAAUAAGCUGGCACCUUGACGGUACCUAACCAGAAAGCCACGGCUAACUACGUGCCAGCAGCCGCGGUAAUACGUAGGUGGCAAGCGUUAUCCGGAAUUAUUGGGCGUAAAGCGCGCGCAGGUGGUUUCUUAAGUCUGAUGUGAAAGCCCACGGCUCAACCGUGGAGGGUCAUUGGAAACUGGGAGACUUGAGUGCAGAAGAGGAAAGUGGAAUUCCAUGUGUAGCGGUGAAAUGCGUAGAGAUAUGGAGGAACACCAGUGGCGAAGG
rnacentral:rRNA from 1 species